rnacentral:lncRNA from 1 species
UCACCAUCCUCAUGAUGAUCCUAUGGUCAGGAGCUGUUUAUGAGUUAGUUAUGUAAAUUCAUGUCUUAAAUUUCCAACUCUUAAAAAUAUGAAUUAACAUUCCUACUAACUCAAAAGAUGUAUCACAGACAUAAUGUAUACAAUGUGAUAGUAGAAUAAUCUUUUUAUUCAUUUAUAGUCAAAAUUACAAAUUUGUCUUUACAUUUGUAUAGAAAUGUGCCAGCCAAUC